AGAGUUUGAUCAUGGCUCAGAACGAACGCUGGCGGCGCGCCUAAUACAUGCAAGUCGAGCGAGAAGGUGUAGCAAUACACUUGUGAAGCGGCGAACGGGUGAGGAAUACAUGGGUAAUCUACCAUCGAGUGGGGAAUAACCAACCGAAAGGUUGGCUAAUACCGCGUACGCCUCCGAGUCUUCGGGUUCGGAGGGAAAGCUGCACUGUGAGUGUAGCGCUCUUUGAUGAGCUCAUGUCCUAUCAGCUUGUUGGUAGGGUAACGGCCUACCAAGGCUUUGACGGGUAGCUGGUCUGAGAGGACGAUCAGCCACACUGGCACUGCGACACGGGCCAGACUCCUACGGGAGGCAGCAGUAAGGAAUAUUGCGCAAUGGGCGAAAGCCUGACGCAGCGACGCCGCGUGGGGGAUGAAGGUCUUCGGAUUGUAAACCCCUUUCGGGAGGGAAGAUGGAGCGAGCAAUCGUUCGGACGGUACCUCCAGAAGCAGCCACGGCCAACUUCGUGCCAGCAGCCGCGGUAAUACGAAGGUGGCAAGCGUUGUUCGGAUUCACUGGGCGUACAGGGUGUGUAGGCGGUUUGGUAAGCCUUCUGUUAAAGCUUCGGGCCCAACCCGGAAAGCGCAGAGGGUACUGCCAGGCUAGAGGGUGGGAGAGGAGCGCGGAAUUCCCGGUGUAGCGGUGAAAUGCGUAGAGAUCGGGAGGAAGGCCGGUGGCGAAGGCGGCGCUCUGGAACAUACCUGACGCUGAGACACGAAAGCGUGGGGAGCAAACAGGAUUAGAUACCCUGGUAGUCCACGCCC
rnacentral:rRNA from 1 species